GACGAACGCUGGCGGCGUGCUUAACACAUGCAAGUCGAGCGGAAAGGCUCCUUCGGGGGUACUCGAGCGGCGAACGGGUGAGUAACACGUGAGUAAUCUGCCCUGUGCUCUGGGAUAGCCACCGGAAACGGUGAUUAAUACCGGAUACAACCACUAUCCGCAUGGGUUGGGGGUGGAAAGUUUUUUCGGCACAGGAUGUGCUCGCGGCCUAUCAGCUUGUUGGUGAGGUAAUGGCUCACCAAGGCUUUGACGGGUAGCCGGCCUGAGAGGGUGACCGGUCACACUGGGACUGAGACACGGCCCAGACUCCUACGGGAGGCAGCAGUGGGGAAUAUUGGACAAUGGGCGGAAGCCUGAUCCAGCAACGCCGCGUGAGGGAUGACGGCCUUCGGGUUGUAAACCUCUUUCAGUACCGACGUAGCGCAAGUGACGGUAGGUACAGAAGAAGGACCGGCCAACUACGUGCCAGCAGCCGCCGUAACAC
rnacentral:rRNA from 1 species